ACUCUGGAGAGAGAAACAGAGAGAGAGGAGAUGUGGGGGGAUCUUGUCGUGCAUCUUGACCCUGCAGACAGGUGGCCUUGGGGGCAGGGGGCUCAUCCCAAGCACAGCCUCCCCCCCCAUGCCCCUCAGCACUGCCCAGGCAUGGUAUGGUGGGACACACACAUAGCCUUGCUUGAAAUCCUGGUGGAUCAAGAUCCCUGGGUCAUGUCCUGCCCUGGCCAGUCUGACCAAAGCAUUUUCCAGACUGUCAUUGCUGAGGCAGGGGCUGGGGAGUUUGGUGUCAGGUUCAAGAUGCACCUACCAUUUUUUUGCUCUUCUGUCAGCUGCUCAACCUGCAAGGAAAACACAGAGACCAAGUAAUUUUUCUUUGUCAGCAUCACUGACAGGACACAUUAUUUUUUCAACAGCCUUUGCAAAGAUCAGCCAAGUCUCACAACAGUCAUCCUCGUGUAUUAGGGGAUGUACAGCCAGUGGGGUUUUGACACCACAACUUUUUGUCUAAGAGAUUAUUCCCCUUAAAAAAACAAUUAUUCCCAUCUCCUUUGAAUCAAGCAUCACUUCUCUAGAGUAGCAGCUCCUACUACAUGGCAGAAAUAGCCUUUGCACAGGCAGGGGAGUCCCACUGGGAAAAAGAAUUUGCCUCCAUCAACCAUUUGGGAUAAUUUCUUUUUGCUGGCAGGCUUCACCAUGGGAUAUCUGCACUGCUGAGGGCUGCUCACAUGUGGGCUCUGCCUAGGUCAGAGGUGGGAUGUGCUUGAGAGGUCCCUGGGGAGGGAAAGGUGGACAAGACCAUUCCCAGCAUUUGUUUUUCAGCCCUAGAUUCAGGAAACUGCCUGCACUACCUAGAGCAUUAACUGCUUUACUUCCAUCUGAGUCAGUGUUAUUACAAAGGGUCUUGACUCUGAAGAGGACUGCUAUUCCCUUUAGCCUGUUUUGGGAAUCUCCCUGAAGAAAUGGCCUGUGGAGCCAUUAGGCAUUAGCUAAAAUGGACUGGCAGAUUGUUCCUAAACUCUGCCCUAAUUCAAUCCCCUCAGACCAUCAGUGGGAGCUCAUUAGUUAGUAUGAAUUAACAAAAUAAUCACUAAGGAGAGCAAAGAGGAAUCAGUCAGCUCUGUGCCAUACCUGUCUAAGUGCAUUUCUCUCUUUGGCUUCAUUCCUGCCUGCAGGUACUGCUUAUCUAAAAUUGCUGACCUCACCACCGUGUCCAACUGCCCCUUUUACAGCAUCCAUGAAAACACUGACCCUUCCUAUGCUGGUCAACAGCCUCUCUGGAGCCAGCCAGGGACAGGUUUCUCUGGCUGAAGUGUGGGAAGGCAAGCUCUGAGCUCGGAGGUCACAGCACUACAGCAGCCAUGGUAACACCAAAUCUUCUGUAUUGUGCUUUUAUCAGCUAUCCUCUCCAUCUAUCCCAUGGUUCCAUUUGACGUCAGAUAGGGGAAAUUGAAAUUCUUCAAUUUUUUUUCCAGGAAACUGGGACUCACUUCACCCAACCAGCAAGAUGACCCGUCCCCACUGCAAAUGGCUAAAAUCCACACUCCUGGAUUUACCGUGGAUUUACUCCUCCACGGUGGAAAGCAAAACACACCAAAAACCUCUAAGUGAUGAGCAGCGUUUUCUCAGUCCGGGAAAAAGCGAUUUAAUCCAGCAACAGAAGUCAAACCUCUCCUUUUAGUGAUUCAGGACUCCCUCUUGUGUCCAGAGGGGCUAUGGAUGGCUCCGGCACCUCAGGAUACAAAGUCCCACCCCCAGCUGGCUCAUACCAGCGUUAGUUAGCAAAACAGAAAAUAAUAUUGGUGCAGCUGUUAGGUUUCAUCCUUUCUAAAAUCCCUUCUCCGUUUAAGAGGAAUCAUACUGCGUGGAAAAACCUGCUGUCCCUGUGGAAUUCCCAGCCAAAGCAGCUUUAAUCAGAGACCCUGCUGGUGUCAGCACAAAGUGAGGACAUGGGUGAACACAGAGAUGUCUCCACACCACAUCCUCCCAGGUUUUGAGUCCUGAAGGAUUAACUUGUUAGGAACUGUGGUCCUGUGGGUACCCACCGGCCUUGAUUUACACAGCUUCAGCCCAGAUCUGCCUCCAGAUGGAAUAGCAAGGAAAAUAGUUGCGUUUAAGGAAUUAAUUUUUGAAGCAGUUAGUCUUGAGAAUUGGAACAUGUUAAUAUUUUGGUUGCCUUGAACACAGAAGAAGCAGGAAAAGCUGCAAAGGGAAGUAGUUAUUUUGUUAAAGGGCAUUGGAUCCUGUCCUUAGGUGAGGGCACAGGAUGGGUCCUUAGGAUGAAGGACCUGCUGUCACCCACAAUUAAAUCAUCCCUCAGAACCUCCUGGGCAAGCUCAUAGAGACCUUCCCAGUGAAGUGCUGCCCCAAAGCAAACCCGUGCCCCUGGCUGCUUUCUCCCCUCAGGAUUCACUGCAGGUGCCAGCACUGGGCAGUACAAGUGUGAGGAAUCACGCCUGGCCCUGGCCCUCUCUCCUGGGAGGUGAUGGCUCUGAGUCACCCCUCUGAAAACAGCCCCUGGGAUGCGUCAGAAUGUAUCCAGGGCCAAUGUAGAGCGGGAAUGGGAGCUCUAACAUGGCCUUUAAAAGGUUGUGGCUGCGCUGCUGGAGCAGCUGGGUUGAAAUUGAGGUCGGGAUGAGGAAGAAGAGUCUCUGUCUGCUUAGAGGAAAUCUGGGCCACUGCCACCAUACACACUGACGUGGGAUGGCUGCACUUCUGCAAAUGUCUGAUACGAACAGGGACUUACAAAACAGAGCUGUGCCUGGAGGGAAAGGAUGAAAUCCAUCUGGUGACAGGAGAUGAUGUUCCUCCCAGGGAAGGAGGCACAGGCGAGGGGCAUCGUGCCAACCGCUGCCUCCUCGCCUGCUGCUUGGAGCCAAAGCUUCCAGCAUCCCCUGUCUCUUCGAAGUUCUUUGCUUACAAAAGAAUUGGUAUUUUGUAGAGAAACCCAGAGCCUCUGCCAUGCACAGGGCAGGGGGAGGCUGCUACAGGUAUGGAGUGUCCUGGGGAUAACCAUCCGCUCCUGCUGCUUCUCUUGCUCUCCGUGUGAGACCCAGGGCAGAGAUGGAGCGUGGCUAUCUAUAGCCUGGGGAGGGCUGCCAGCUCAAGUGCCCUUAAUCCGGGCAUGGCUGGCUCGGUGGCACGCCAGCUGUCACUGUGGUCAGGUACAGCAUGUCAGCCUGGGCUCCAGCUGCACCCUGACACGCUGCCACACUUGUCAGUCAGUCUAAGGUACCAAGACAAACAGAAGGUUUUACUGUGCUUUUUUCCUCCAAAAUCUCGGAUUAGGUUUGCAUUUCCAAGCAGCUGUAAUCCAGGGCAAAACUCACAGAGGCAUCCUUCAGGUCAAAUGCAGGGAAAUACAAAGCAGAAGCCCAACUAAGAUGCAAUUUUGUUUGGGGUCAGGGCUGUUUGCAAGGCUCCUUGGUUUCUGUUGUGGUUCCAAACUGCAGCAAAACUCUCCAGCAUCCCCCUUCCCUGCAUCGGGCACUGGCCCUAGGAGAGGCCAGACCCACACCACUGAAGUUCUUUAACACUGCUUCCUAAAUUCACCUCAGAGACUUUUUGCUGAACAAGCCCCCAUUUGCCCCCUUUCAUCUUCUCUGUGAGCCAGGACAGGGCUGUCACACCAGGAGCCACCUCUGUGCCUGCAGGCAGGAACUGCGUUAGGAGGAGGAGAAGGGAACUGAUGGCAACUGACAGGCGCGCCAGUGCUGCAAAUUGUUAUUUAAUUAAGGAGACGGGACAUUGAGAGGAAGCUUAAUUAAAGUUGCUCUCCAAACCCACUUAUUAUCUCAUGAAGAGGCUGAGCUCAGCAGCAGCUCCUGAUGCUGGGACAGCAACAGAAAAUCCCUCUUGGUUUGCCUGCACUACAUGUGUUUUCUCCUGGCACACAUCAUCCUUCGGCUACAUCCUGACCAACAGAAAGCAUUUUUCAGUGAAAAUAAAAUCAAAAUGGGUUUA